AUUGAACGCUGGCGGCAUGCCUAACACAUGCAAGUCGAACGGCAGCACGGGGCAACCUGGUGGCGAGUGGCGAACGGGUGAGUAAUGCAUCGGAACGUACCUUUCAGUGGGGGAUAACGUAGCGAAAGUUACGCUAAUACCGCAUAUUCUGUGAGCAGGAAAGCAGGGGAUCGCAAGACCUUGCGCUGAUUGAGCGGCCGAUGUCAGAUUAGCUAGUUGGUGAGGUAAAGGCUCACCAAGGCGACGAUCUGUAGCGGGUCUGAGAGGAUGAUCCGCCACACUGGAACUGCGCCACGGUCCAGACUCCUACGGGAGGCAGCAGUGGGGAAUUUUGGACAAUGGGGGCAACCCUGAUCCAGCCAUGCCGCGUGAGUGAAGAAGGCCUUCGGGUUGUAAAGCUCUUUCGGCCGGGAAGAAAUCGCACGGGCUAAUACCCUGUGUGGAUGACGGUACCGGAAUAAGAAGCACCGGCUAACUACGUGCCAGCCGCCGCCGUAA
rnacentral:rRNA from 1 species